GAUGAACGCUGGCGGCGUGCCUAAUACAUGCAAGUCGAGCGAACGGACGAGAAGCUUGCUUCUCUGAUGUUAGCGGCGGACGGGUGAGUAACACGUGGAUAACCUACCUAUAAGACUGGGAUAACUUCGGGAAACCGGAGCUAAUACCGGAUGAUAUUUUGAACCGCAUGGUUCAAAAGUGAAAGACGGUCUUGCUGUCACUUAUAGAUGGAUCCGCGCUGCAUUAGCUAGUUGGUAAGGUAACGGCUUACCAAGGCAACGACGCAUAGCCGACCUGAGAGGGUGAUCGGCCACACUGGAACUGAGACACGGUCCAGACUCCUACGGGAGGCAGCAGUAGGGAAUCUUCCGCAAUGGGCGAAAGCCUGACGGGGCAACGCCGCGUGAGUGAUGAAGGUCUUCGGAUCGUAAAACUCUGUUAUUAGGGAAGAACAUAUGUGUAAGUAACUGCGCACAUCUUGACGGUACCUAAUCAGAAAGCCACGGCUAACUACGUG
rnacentral:rRNA from 1 species